rnacentral:tRNA from 1 species
GAAGUGCUAGAAAAGCCUGUCCCGACGGACUUAAAAUCCGGAGGCCGCAAGGCCGUCCCGGUUCGAUCCCGGGUCGGGGCACCA